CUCGAUAGAGACCAUCAGUGAUUUGAGUGGGAGAGCAAAGCGAAGCAGGAGCAUUGGGAUGAAGGAGGAAAGCUUCCUGGCCCUUGUGGUGAUAACCUAGCACAGCUCUGCCUCUGGGGGAGCAGAUGCCAGCCUUUGGAGCAUGCUGCUGUCUGGUGUGUGCUCACACCUCUGAGGCAGUGGUGGGUCCUGAGCAGCCCUAUAAUUGAAGGAUAACUUCCUGUUGCUCACACCCUGGCAGAGCUGCUGGCAUCCCUGCUGUUCCGUAUUCCUCCCCAGAAUCUGCAUGUUCCAACUAUCAGCUGGAAGUUCCGACCCUUUGUGUGCUUAGCUGGAGGGGAGAAAAGUACUAGAGAAGAUGGAUUGAGAAGUGAAUGAGAUGCCAAAGUAAAUCUCAUUUACCUGUCCCGUGUGUCAGUAGUAAGCUGGGAGAACAUUCGUCUCUGAAACCAUCUCACGUCAUCAGAACCGACUCAGACAGCAGCUGUUUGCUCCUCGGAGCUGUCACGGGGUUGCAGAUGUGGUGGCACUACAACUGCUGGAGCAGUUUUGUUGUGGGACAGCUUUGAGCUCGGGUCACCUCCGUGGCUGCCGCACGGAUGCUGCCCCUCUUUCUGCAGGAGCCCCUGAGCGGAAGCACAGACCCAAUGCUGGGUAAGGGGGAGGAAAGCAGAGCCUGGCUCAGAUGGAAGGGGAGAAAAGACAAUCUGGGAGGAUGCAGGUUGUGAAACCGGCAGCAGGAGAGGCAGCAGAAAUAACCGGCCCUUCGCAGCUCUCUUCAUCCCUGUGUCCCUAAGAAAGAGUCUUUUAGGGUUAGUAAUUAACCCUGAGCUUACACUGGCACUAACAAACACCUAAGUGGGACAGAAGUGGGUUUGACCUGUGCUCCCCCUACCCUGCCCUGCUAGGCAGCUCCCAUCUCUGUGUGAAGGACAGGAUGAAUGAGGACCAGCUACGACGCUCUUCCUCCCUGUAGUAAAAGGCUUCUGGGAAGGAAAUAAGCAAUUGCCAUUUAGCUGCUUAUGCUCUCCCUUUGUCCCCUUUCUCCGUGUCCAUGGGAAAGCUGAUGGCAGUGUGGGGCCUCACAGGUUUUGCCAUGUGGAUCCAUGCCUAUGGCUGGGCUGGUGUGUCCUGCCCUUGCCUCACUGCUGUCCUGAUGAGCCGGGGACUGUGGCCACAACCUGACUGUCCCCAUGUGGGAGCCCGCAGCACUGCGAACGUGGUACCCUGUAAGUGAUCUGUCUGAAAGACAACCCUGGGUAGUGCUUAGUUUUUAAAUAGAUCAUUCCUGACAAAGCCCAUUAUUCACAGUGGGCAGAAAGCCAACACCCCUUCGGUUCAGAGGAUGCUCCCUGCAACGCUGCUAUCAGGAGUUGCACAUCCUGAGAGGGAUUGGUGGCCACGGGGGGCACUUGGGGAGGAGGAAGAGGAGUUCUCCUGACAGCUGCAUGUGAUCUCUUCAUCAGCCCAGUCUCUGAAGUAUGAGGCUUCAUUUCCUGCCACUCCUUGAGAUGCUCAAUGUGUUUCAUGUGGAUGAUUAGCCCAGGAUUCAGAUUGUUCAAUUACACAUCAGCCCAGGCACAGAGUAGAAGAGUAUUGCCCAGUGCAUGUGUCUCCAGAAGGGUACUGAAUUCCUCCCUUAGGCUGAUUAGUCUCAGUUGAGCUUUAACUGAGUAUCUGAGCACAUGAAGAGGAAGUUUUUGACAUGUCUAUGCAUUAAACCAAUUAUGAUAAUUCUAUUUUGAUGUCCACAUGUGUGACACUUUUGAGAAAUGGGGCAAAAUAUCUGUCAGCCCUGUUGUAUCCCUGCCUGUGGGUGCACAUCCUGCUGCAGCUCUUUGCAUACAGACCUAUCUAACAGCACAUAUUGAAAUUCUCUUGAAUUAUGUAGAAGUUUGAACACUGAGAAAGGAAAACAUUUGGAGAUGAUGGACUAGGCAGACGAGGGAGGCCUGUGCCUCAGCCAUGCCUUUCCUCAGGGCUGCCUUCUCUGUAGUGGGUUUUAUUUUCUACCACUCAGUACUGCUUUUUUUGCAAGAGGGAUUUUAUUUUCUACCAUAUCUGAAUGGUAGCAUUUAAAAAUCACUUUGCAUCAAUGCCCAAUCGUUCAGGCCUUCAGUGUUUUAUUUUAUGGUUAUGUUUUAUCAUUUAUAGCAGUGUGAUU